UGGAGAGUUUGAUCCUGGCUCAGGACGAACGCUGGCGGCGUGCCUAAUACAUGCAAGUAGAACGCUGAAGACUUUAGCUUGCUAAAGUUGGAAGAGUUGCGAACGGGUGAGUAACGCGUAGGUAACCUGCCUACUAGCGGGGGAUAACUAUUGGAAACGAUAGCUAAUACCGCAUAACAGCAUUUAACCCAUGUUAGAUGCUUGAAAGGAGCAAUUGCUUCACUAGUAGAUGGACCUGCGUUGUAUUAGCUAGUUGGUGAGGUAACGGCUCACCAAGGCGACGAUACAUAGCCGACCUGAGAGGGUGAUCGGCCACACUGGGACUGAGACACGGCCCAGACUCCUACGGGAGGCAGCAGUAGGGAAUCUUCGGCAAUGGGGGCAACCCUGACCGAGCAACGCCGCGUGAGUGAAGAAGGUUUUCGGAUCGUAAAGCUCUGUUGUAAGAGAAGAACGUGUGUGAGAGUGGAAAGUUCACACAGUGACGGUAACUUACCAGAAAGGGACGGCUAACUACGUGCCAGCAGCCGCGGUA
rnacentral:rRNA from 2 species